rnacentral:rRNA from 1 species
CUGCCCAGUGUCAAUAGAUAAAUGGCCGCAGUACCUUGACUGUGCUAAGGUAGCAUAAUCAAUUGGCUUUUAAUUGAAGUCUAGAAUGAAUGGGAUAAUGGAAUUUAGCUGUCUUGAUUUUUUUAAUAAAAAUUUAUUUAUAAGGUGAAAAUCCCUUAUCUUACUAAUAACGUAGAGAAGACCCUAUGAAUUUUUUAAAUUUUUUGCGCAGGGGCGACAGUUUAAAAAAUAAAUCUUAAAUUUAAAAUAUAUAACGAUUUUUUUAAUAAAAAUUAAAUUACCUUAGGGAUAACAGCAUUAUUAUUCAAAUAGUUUGUGACCUCGAUGUUGGACUAGGAACUAAAAGGCUAACCGUCUUUAUAGAUUUGUU